rnacentral:rRNA from 1 species
AUACGUAGGUGGGCAAGCGUUGUCCGGAAUUAUUGGGCGUAAAGGGCGUGUAGGUGGAUGUUUAAGUCGUGUGUCUAAGUGCGGGGCUCAACCCCGUAUAGGCGCAGGAAACUGGAGAUCUUGAGUGCAGGAGAGGAAAGUGGAAUUCCCAGUGUAGCGGUGAAAUGCGUAGAUAUUGGGAGGAACACCAGUGGCGAAGGCGACUUUCUGGACUGUGUCUGACACUGAGGCGCGAAAGCCAGGGGAGC